rnacentral:rRNA from 1 species
UACGUAGGUGGCAAGCGUUGUCCGGAAUUAUUGGGCGUAAAGCGCUCGCAGGCGGUCUUUUAAGUCUGAUGUGAAAUCUUGCGGCUCAACCGUAAGCGGCCAUUGGAAACUGGAGGACUUGAGUACAGAAGAGGAGAGUGGAAUUCCACGUGUAGCGGUGAAAUGCGUAGAGAUGUGGAGGAACACCAGUGGCGAAGGCGACUCUCUGGUCUGUAACUGACGCUGAGGAGCGAAAGCGUGGGGAGCAAACAGG